rnacentral:piRNA from 1 species
UUGGUAUCUUACUUAUUUCGU